UUUACAUUUGGAUUAGGUCUUAAUUCACUGGCUGACUUUGGACAAGCCUAUUGACCUUUCUGGGGUCAAGUUGGUUUAUGUAUAGGAGGUUGGAUAGAAUGAUCUCUCAACCUCUAUUAGCUCUGACCUCCUUGGAUACAAAAGUUCUUCUUGUCUUUUGUUGUUGUUUUUUGUUUGUUUUUGGGAUGGGAGGAUGUCAAAUUGCAUCUAGAAGUGAAUCAUUGGGGGGAACCUUUUAAGACAGUUUAGGUUCAGAUGCAUGGAGAACCAGACAGAACAAAUAAAGAAGGAUAGAGAGGAGAGAGAGGGAGCUGGUCUUGUCUCCUCUAAACUGUAGUGAUAAUUGUACCCCCUUCUCAGUUUGAAUUCUGUUGAGAAUUAUUUUCUCAAGAAGAGUCCAGUAUUGGGUGGAGGGGAAUGUAGAAUUCCUGGCUCUAGACCAGUCUGGGGGUAGAGGAGGUUGCACCCCAGGGGACAUUAGGUAAUGUCUGGAGACAUAUUUGGUUGUCAUAAGUUGGGGGCGGGUUAUAUUAGCAUCUCCUGGGUAAAGGCCAGGGAUGUGGCAAAACAUCCUACAAUGCACAGGGCCACCCCCUCCCACCAAGCACAUAAUGAUCCCGUCUAACAUGUCAAUAGUCCUGAGGUGAGGAAGCCCGGCUCUAAAACAAUGUGUGACUUUGCACAAGUAACUAAACACCUCCGGGUGACUAUUUUAUCAAUCUACGUGACAAAUUUUACAUGGUAUGGUAGAUUGCUGGCAAAAAUAGCCCAAAUUCUCCUCCAUGUCCCCCCUGGCCAUUGCAAUAUCACUUUGCAGCUCCUGCUAUCAAGACAUGGAGUCUGUUCCUCACUCUUUGAAUCACGGCUAGCCUGUGUCUUGCUUUGUUCAGCAGAAUCUGCAGAAUUGGUAGCACCAAGUCUAGGCCUCAGAGGCUUUGCACAGUUCUGUUGUCUCCUUCCGAGCCCUGCUCUCCUGUGUGCGUGAGCCUGGGCUAAUCUGCUGGAGGAUGAGACACCACGUGUACAACAGGCAAACUGCCCUACCCUGUCUAUGCUAAAAAUACAAUUGCUAAAAAUUGCAAGAUACAGUCCAGCCUAGAGUAAAACUAUCUACUGACCGAGGACCAUGGACUGCAGACCCUAGCUGAGAUAAGAAAACCCAC
rnacentral:lncRNA from 1 species